rnacentral:rRNA from 1 species
AGCCGCCGCGGUAAUACCAGCACCCCGAGUGGUCGGGACGAUUAUUGGGCCUAAAGCAUCCGUAGCCGGUUUUACAUGUCCUCCGUUAAAUCCAACUGCUUAACAGAUGGGCCGCGGAGGAUACUAUAAGACUAGGAGGCAGGAGAGGCAAGCGGUACUCAGUGGGUAGGGGUAAAAUCCGUUGAUCCAUUGAAGACCACCAGUGGCGAAGGCGGCUUGCCAGAAUGCGCUCGACGGUGAGGGAUGAAAGCUGGGGGAGCAAACCGGAUUAGAUACCCGGGUAGUCCCAGCUGUAAACGAUGCAGACUCGGUGAUGGACUAGCUUCAUGCUAGUCCAGUGCCGCAGGGAAGCCGUUAAGUCUGCCGCCUGGGUAGUACGGUCGCAAUACUGAAACUUAA